rnacentral:tRNA from 1 species
GCAUUGGUGGUUCAGUGGGAGAAUUCUCACCUUCCAUGCAGGAAAAAACCCGGGUUCAAUUCCCAGCCAAUGCA